rnacentral:rRNA from 1 species
UGAACGCUGGCGGUAUGCUUAACACAUGCAAGUCGAACGGAAGUCUUCGGACUUUAGUGGCGGACGGGUGAGUAACGCGUGAGAAUCUGGCUUUAGGUCGGGGACAACAGUUGGAAACGACUGCUAAUACCGGAUAUGCCGAGAGGUGAAAGAUUAAUUGCCUGAAGAAGAGCUCGCGUCUGAUUAGCUAGUUGGUGGGGUAAGAGCCCACCAAGGCGACGAUCAGUAGCUGGUCUGAGAGGACGAUCAGCCACACUGGGACUGAGACACGGCCCAGACUCCUACGGGAGGCAGCAGUGGGGAAUUUUCCGCAAUGGGCGAAAGCCUGACGGAGCAAUACCGCGUGAGGGAGGAAGGCUCUUGGGUUGUAAACCUCUUUUCUGAGGGAAGAAAAAAAUGACGGUACCUCAGGAAUCAGCAUCGGCUAACUCCGUGCCAGCAGCCGCGGUAAUACGGAGGAUGCAAGCGUUAUCCGGAAUGAUUGGGCGUAAAGCGUCCGCAGGUGGCAUUUCAAGUCUGCGGUCAAAGGUCGAGGCUCAACCUCGAACAGGCCGUGGAAACUGAGAAGCUAGAGUGUGGUAGGGGCAGAGGGAAUUCCCAGUGUAGCGGUGAAAUGCGUAGAGAUUGGGAAGAACACCGGUGGCGAAAGCGCUCUGCUAGGCCAAGACUGACACUGAGGGACGAAAGCUAGGGGAGCGAAUGGGAUUAGAUACCCCAGUAGUCCUAGCCGUAAACGAUGGAUACUAGGUGUAGCUUGUAUCGACCCAAGCUGUGCCGUAGCUAACGCGUUAAGUAUCCCGCCUGGGGAGUACGCGCGCAAGCGUGAAACUCAAAGGAAUUGACGGGGGCCCGCACAAGCGGUGGAGUAUGUGGUUUAAUUCGAUGCAACGCGAAGAACCUUACCAGGACUUGACAUGUCGCGAAUCUGAGUGAAAGCUUAGAGUGCCUUCGGGAGCGCGAACACAGGUGGUGCAUGGCUGUCGUCAGCUCGUGUCGUGAGAUGUUGGGUUAAGUCCCGCAACGAGCGCAACCCUCGUUUUUAGUUGCCAGCAUUAAGUUGGGCACUCUAGAGAGACUGCCGGUGACAAACCGGAGGAAGGUGGGGAUGACGUCAAGUCAGCAUGCCCCUUACGUUCUGGGCUACACACGUACUACAAUGCUACGGACAAAGGGCAGCAAGCCAGCGAUGGCAAGCCAAUCCCAUAAACCGUGGCUCAGUUCAGAUUGCAGGCUGCAACUCGCCUGCAUGAAGGCGGAAUCGCUAGUAAUCGCAGGUCAGCACUACUGCGGUGAAUACGUUCCCGGGCCUUGUACACACCGCCCGUCACACCAUGGAAGCUGGCAGUGCCCGAAGUCGUUACCCUAACCAUUCGUGGAGGGGGAUGCCGAAGGUGUGGCUGGUGACUGGGGUGAAGUCGUAACAAGGUAGCCGUACCGGAAGGUGUGGCUGGAUCACCUCCUUUAAGGGAGACCGAACCCAUCAAUAACCGAAAGCAAACAGUAAUUAGGUAGAAUUGAUGAGGUCAUCCUAGGUCGCAGCGAAGUAGAAGUGAGGCUUUCUAACUAUAAUUAGGUUUGGCAAAGGGGCUAUUAGCUCAGGUGGUUAGAGCGCACCCCUGAUAAGGGUGAGGUCCCUGGUUCGAGUCCAGGAUGGCCCACCUAAAGUAGUUUUCAGUUUUCAGGUAUGAGUUUUAAAUUAAGAACUCAAAACGAAGAACUAAAAAUUAUGGAAAAGGGGGUAUAGCUCAGUUGGUAGAGCGCCUGCUUUGCAAGCAGGAUGUCAGCGGUUCGAGUCCGCUUACCUCCACAUGAGUAACAGCCAAAACAAACGAGCAAGACCAAUUCAGCACCUAGACAAAAAACAAAUUGUCGGCAUGCUGAAUAGAUUAUUCAGCCAGAACCUUGAAAACUGCAUAGCAACAACAAAUAGCAGGCAGAUACUAAAAGUAUCUGAAUGAAAAACUGGUCAAGCUACAAAGGGCUGAUGGUGGAUACCUAGGCACGCAGAGGCGAAGAAGGACGUGGCGACCGACGAAAAGCUCCGGGGAGCUGGAAGCAAGCAUUGAGCCGGAGAUAUCCGAAUAGGGCAACCUAAAAACAGCUUGUUGAAUAUAUAGACAAGCAUGAGCAAACCCAGCGAACUGAAACAUCUUAGUAGCUGGAGGAAAAGAAAGAAAACUCGAUUUCCUCAGUAGUGGUGAGCGAAAGGGAAAGAGCCUAAACCAAGUGUUUUCACACUUGGGGUAGUGGGACAGCGAUAUGGAAGCCGGAAGCUAGACGAAGCAGCUAGAAACUGCACCAAAGAAGGUAAGAGUCCUGUAGUCGAAAGUGAAAGGAUACUAGCUGGAUCCCGAGUAGCGCGGAACACGGGAAAUUCCGCGUGAAUCAGCGAGGACCACCUCGUAAGGCUAAAUACUACUGCGUGACCGAUAGCGAAACAGUACCGCGAGGGAAAGGUGAAAAGAACCCCGGAAGGGGAGUGAAAUAGAACAUGAAACCA